rnacentral:rRNA from 1 species
CCUACGGGAGGCAGCAGUGGGGAAUAUUGCACAAUGGGCGAAAGCCUGAUGCAGCGAAGCCGCGUGAGUGAAGAAGUAUUUCGGGAUGUUAAGCUCUAUCAGCAGGGAAGAAAAUGACGGUACCUGAUUAAGAAGCCCCGGCUAACUACGUGCCAGCAGCCGCGGUAAUAAGGAGGGGGCACGCGUUAUCCGGAUUUACUGGGUGUAAAGGGAGCGUAGACGGCAGCACAAGUCUGGAGUGAAAUGCCGGGGCUUAACCCCGGAACUGCUUUGGAAACUGGGCAGCUAGAGUGCAGGAGAGGUAAGUGGAAUGCCUAGUGUAGCGGUGAAAUGCGUAGAUAUUAGGAGGAACACCAGUGGCGAAGGCGGCUUACUGGACUGUAACUGACGUUGAGGCUCGAAAGCGUGGGGAGCAAACAGGAUUAGAUACCCCGGUAGUC